CAGUAGCCGCGGGAAUACAGAGGGUGCAAGCGUUAAUCGGAAUUACUGGGCGUAAAGCGCGCGUAGGUGGUUUGUUAAGUUGGAUGUGAAAUCCCCGGGCUCAACCUGGGAACUGCAUCCAAAACUGGCAAGCUAGAGUAUGGUAGAGGGUGGUGGAAUUUCCUGUGUAGCGGUGAAAUGCGUAGAUAUAGGAAGGAACACCAGUGGUGAAGGCGACCACCUGGACUGAUACUGACACUGAGGUGCGAAAGCGUGGGGAGCAAACAGGAUUAGAUACCCCGGUAGUCCCUGUCUCUUAUAC
rnacentral:rRNA from 1 species